rnacentral:tRNA from 5 species
CGGGGCGUAGCGCAGUCUGGUAGCGCACCUGUAUGGGGUGCAGGUGGUCGGAGGUUCAAAUCCUCUCGCCCCGACCA